CAAAGGGCUGGAGGCGGCAGUGCGGCGGGAGUGCUCAGUAGUCAGCGAAGAACGGUGUGCAGAGGGGGCGAGGAAGCUUCUGGACUGAGCAGGGAGUUCUUGGAUCUUAUCAAACAAAAAACAGAGUCCUAUAUGUAAGCAACUGCUGUAUCACACUUUAUGGAUGACAUUUUCUGCUGGCAGGACUUCUUUUUGAUGAAGGUAUGGAAAAUGUUCUCCGUCUUUCCUUCUGGGUUUUUUGGCUGCCUUCACCAGGCAUACCUUGGAAAUACUCAAGUUUGGUUUUGGACCAUCACAAUAAAGCAAAUUUGCCAUAAGGUGAGUCACACAAAUUUUUGGUUUUCCAGUGCAUAUAAAAGUUGUGUUUACACUAUACCGUAGUAUAGUACGUGUACAAUAGCAUGAUGUCUGAAAAAAACAAUGUACAUUCCUUAAUUUGAAAAUGCUUUAUUACUAAAAGUGCUAACCAUCACCUAAGUCUUCCGUGAAUUGUAAUCUUUUUGUUGGUGGAUGGUCUUGCCUUGAUGUUGAUGGUCACUGACUGAUGAGCGUGGUGGGUGUUGAAGACUGAGGUGGCUGGGGCAGUUUCUUAAUAUAAGACAACAA